rnacentral:rRNA from 1 species
CAGCCGCCGCGGUAAUACGUAGGUGGCAAGCGUUGUCCGGAAUUAUUGGGCGUAAAGGGCUCGCAGGCGGUUUCUUAAGUCUGAUGUGAAAGCCCCCGGCUCAACCGGGGAGGGUCAUUGGAAACUGGGAAACUUGAGUGCAGAAGAGGAGAGUGGAAUUCCACGUGUAGCGGUGAAAUGCGUAGAGAUGUGGAGGAACAUCAGUGGCGAAGGCGACUCUCUGGUCUGUAACUGACGCUGAGGAGCGAAAGCGUGGGGAGCGAACAGGACUAGAUACCCCCGUAGUCCCUGUCUCUUAUAC